AAGCGGCUUCAUCUCCUUGUUCAGCAGCGCCAGACGAUCGUCCACUCUCCGCUCCUCAUUAAAGCAUAUUCCUAAGAUUUCCUCUUGCACACCCAUGGUCUCUUUCGUGAUCUCUAUCUGGCUAUCAACAGCUUCGGUGACUUCGAAGUGACAUUCCUUAACAUUCUCCACAGCAAUCACAAAGGAGGCAUUAGCUUUUAACUCCUUUUCCAGGCGCAAGACACUAUCGAGAAAGCGUUUCUCUUCUUUGGUUAACCUCCAGCAGUAGUCGUUAAGCUCCUUGACGAAUUCAGAAAAUUCGCCAAAAUCCUCCAUCAGGUCUUCAGUAUUUAUGGUCAGCAUACGACGGAGCCGCUUGAUAACCGGAGAGGCGGGAGACUGACCGCAUUCAAAAGGAGG
rnacentral:lncRNA from 1 species